rnacentral:rRNA from 1 species
UACGAGGGGGGCGAGCGUUGUUCGGAAUUAUUGGGCGUAAAGCGUGCGUAGACGGUAGCGUAAGUCGGGUGUGAAAGCCCCGGGCUCAACCUGGGAAUUGCAUUCGAGACUGCUCUGCUAGGGUGCGGAAGAGGGAAGCGGAAUUUCCGGUGUAGCGGUGAAAUGCGUAGAUAUCGGAAGGAACACCAGUGGCGAAAGCGGCUUCCUGGUCCAGCACCGACGUUCAGGCACGAAAGCGUGGGGAGCAAACAGG